UACGGAGGGUGCAAGCGUUAUCCGGAUUUACUGGGUUUAAAGGGUGCGUAGGUGGGUCUGUAAGUCAGUGGUGAAAUCUUCGAGCUUAACUCGGAAACUGCCAUUGAUACUAUAGGUCUUGAAUCAUCUGGAGGUGAGCGGAAUAUGUCAUGUAGCGGUGAAAUGCUUAGAUAUGACAUAGAACACCGAUUGCGAAGGCAGCUCACUACGGAUGUAUUGACACUGAGGCACGAAAGCGUGGGGGAUCAAACAGG
rnacentral:rRNA from 1 species